rnacentral:rRNA from 1 species
GACGAACGCUGGCGGCGUGCCUAAUACAUGCAAGUCGAACGAGUGGCGGACGGGUGAGUAACACGUGGGAACCUACCCAUCAGAGGGGGAUAACUCCUGGAAACGGUAGCUAAUACCGCAUACCAUCGGAUGUGCCAAGAUGGGAUUAGCUAGUAGGUGGGGUAACGGCUAACCUAGGCGACGAUCCCUAGCUGGCCUGAGAGGAUGACCAGCCACUCUGUAACUGAGACACGUUCCAGACUCCUACGGGAGGCAGCAGUGGUGAAUAUUGCACAAUGGGCGCAAGCCGGAUGCAGCCAUGCCGCGUGUAUGAAGAAGGCCUUCGGGUUGUAAAGUACUUUCAGCGGGGAGGCGUUACCCGCAGAAGAAGCACCGGCUAACUCCGUGCCAGCAGCCGCGGUAAUUC